UGGAGGGCUGAGAUUAUUCUAUAUAUCUAUCUAUAGAGGAGGGUUUUUGCUUUCUCUCUCUUCACUCUUCCAGAGCCUCUCACUUUUUCCACCCAAGCCCCUCUCUCAAUUCCAGAGGUUUCAACCUCAUUCUCAACCGAGCAGCCACUACCUCAGCCAUUAGGAGCCCCCUUCGUCUCACCACCACUGCAGCCCCUCCCUCUUCAAGUCUAAUCACCAUUGUUGUUGUGUGGAGGAGCGAUUUUGGGGGGAAAUUUCUUUAUUUUGGUCUCAUGUUUAUUUUAUUUUAUUUUUUCCUUUUUUCUGAUUUAACUGCAGUAUGAUGGGUGUGGUGUGAUUUUGGCACAAUCAGGUGGAUUGGCCCCUCUUCUCUCUCCUCUUAUUAUAUAACAGUGGUGAUUUGCAGAAUGAUGAUGAGUUGUGGUGCAUAGAGGAUGUGAGCAGUGGGUUUUGUUUUGGGGUUUACAUUAGAGAGCUUGAGGAAGAAGUGAAACUUCUUAAGAACCUUUCACAUCCAAACAUUAUGGUAAAUAUUUGAUUUGCAUUCUUGCUAAAGCAUUUUAAUGUUUCCUUUUGUUGCUCAUCCCGUAGAAAACAAUUCAAAUAUCUUUCUGUGCCUAUCCAUAAAUCUUCAAAAGGUAAGGUAUGACUUCCAAUUUCUGGUUAUAAUAAUAACAUUCUAAUGAUUUGAGCACAUGCAAGUUUGUUCAAAAUUAUAUAAGUGGUGAUCCUCUCCACCAUACAUAGAACUUUAAACCCAAAUGAAAGUAUAAUUUUUCGAGGCAAUUAAAAUCCAUUGGGGUUUUUGUUUGAUAAUUUGUCGUGGUAUUGCUUUGGUUUGUUGACAGCUAUUAUGGGCAGUUUGGAAGUUGAUUUCAAUAAUUUCUUACUUCCAUGAUUCUUUGAUUUUAAUGACCAACACAUGCUCUACAAUGUUGAUUUGUGGUGAUUCUCUCACUCUCUCUCUCUCUCUCUCUCAACAUUUAUAUUUAAUGGGUUCAAUAACUUUUUCGUGGCGAGCACCCAAACUUAGAUUUUUAGAUCUAUUUUUCAUGUGAAUGGGUUGUUAUUUCAUGCUUGUAUUGGUAUAUUAAUAUGGGGAUUUUGGAGUUUUUAGUAUGUUAUUGCAUUAUUGUACAAAGAGAUUUUCAUUUGAACCUUUCUCACCUUUGUUUCCCCCCCUCAAUAAUUCAUGUACAUUUGUAAUCUUAUCAUACACCGCCAGUUGAGAUGGUGCCUUCUCGGUCUGUUAAGAGAGCCUUAACAGAAUUGUUGAUUUACUGAUGUCCUGAAGCAAGUGUGUUGUGGCAGCAGCAGUAUUGUGCAUUGUGCUUUGUUGCUGUGUAGCAUUGUGGCAGCAGCAACAUGUUGCAGCGGUAGUGUGGGUCUGCACCUCUCUUUUCUUCUUUUCUCUUCCUUUGGCUUGUGUUGGUUCCUCUCCAACCUUUAUUGUUGUGCUAGCUCAUGAUUGAACUUUGUGCACUUCCCUCAUUUAUUGAUGUAAUCUCAUAUGAAUGUAUGUUGUCGUCAUCAAUAAAGUUUUUCUUUUGCUGAUAAAAAAAAAAUAAAAUAAAAUAAAAAAAUACACCACCAGUUGAGCCCACAUGUGUUUGGAUUUUGUUUUAGGCUAAAGAUUCAUAAUGGAAUGAUUUCCACUCACUCCCACCCCCUAUCUCAGUUAAAAUUUUGGUUUUGUUUAAUUGGUACAAAUGUAAGCAAGAAGGUAAAUUCAAUAAACCAAAUGGAAAUUCAAUAUCUAUAAAAUUUUGGUUUAUUGAGUUAUUGAUAUUGUUUAAUUGGCAUGAUUUAUUGAUAUAAAAGGUAAAUUCAUGAGUUAAUUUGUUUUAGACUUAUAGAAGUUGAGUCGGAGUUUUUAUUUACUAAUAUUUCAAAUUCAUGGUUUUAAAUUUUAUUGAGUUAUUGAUAUUGUUAUUUGAUUUUUUUUGUUCCAGUUAAUUGGUUUUGAAUUUCAUAAUUUAAUUAUUUGGAUUUAUAGUAUCAUCCUGUUCAAUCUUUGAUUAAUCUCAUUAACAAAAGUCUUCUUAUUUACAUAGAAUCCUCUAAUGGGUUGUUUAUAAUUUCAUCAUUAUCGGUUGGUUUAACAGAGAAGCCUUCUAUUUGUUAGUCUACCUUCAAAUUCUAUUUUUUUUCAUGGUGUAAUGAUUUAACUAUGUUUAAUGUUGAAUUUAAUCUCUUUUUGUUCUUGGUAUUAUUGAU